rnacentral:rRNA from 1 species
GUAGGUGGCAAGCGUUGUCCGGAAUUAUUGGGCGUAAAGCGCGCGCAGGCGGUUUUUAAGGUCUGAUGUGAAAGCCCACGGGCUCAACCGUGGAGGGUCAUUGGAAACUGGGGAACUUGAGUACAGAAGAGGAAAGCGGAAUUCCACGUGUAGCGGUGAAAUGCGUAGAGAUGUGGAGGAACACCAGUGGCGAAGGCGGCUUUCUGGUCUGUAACUGACGCUGAGGCGCGAAAGCGUGGGGAGCAAACAGGAUUAGAUACCCUGGUAGUCCACGCCGUAAACGAUGAGUGCUAAGUGUUAGGGGGUUUCCGCCCCUUAGUGCUGCAGCUAACGCAUUAAGCACUCCGCCUGGGGAGUACGGCCGCAAAGGCUGA